rnacentral:rRNA from 1 species
CCUAACGGCUGAACCAGCAACUUGGAGGAAUGUAUAGCGAAAGCUGGUUGUAUUAAUUGUUGGUUAAUGCAGCAUCGACCCCGUUGACUAAAGUUCUAGAUAGAGUUAUGAUAAUGACAUUUUCUAUCUAUGUGUCUUGACCAAAUCACGUGCCAGCAGUCGCGGUAAUACGUGGAAGACUAGUGUUAUUCAUCUUUAAUCGGUUUAAAGGGUACCUAGACGGUAAAUUAAGCCCUUAAAGGGUACUAAUUUGCUAGAGUUUUAUGAGAGGGGGGGAGUACUAAGGAGUGUAGAGAUGAAAUUUUGUGAUACCCUUAUUGGAACAGGCAACGGCGAAAGCAACCCCUUAUGUAAUAACUGACGUUGAAGGACGAAGGCUUAGGACACCAACAGGAUUAGAUACCCUAGCAGUCUAAGCAGACAAUGAUGAAUGUCAUAGGUUAGAUAUUUUGACCUAUAAAUGAAAGUGUAAGCAUUCCACCUCAAGAGUAAUGUGGCAACGCAGGAACUGAAAUCAUUAGACCGUUUCUGAAACCAGUAGUGAAGUAUGUUGUUUAAUUUGUAUCUCCGCAAAAAACCUCACCACAAUCUGUAUAUUUUUACAUUUGUAUUUUUACAAGAGUUGCACGGCUGUCUUCAGUUAAUGUCGUGAGACUUUGGUUAGUUCCAUUAAAUUAACGUAAACCCUUACUUUUUUUUUUAUUUAUAAAGUAGUUCACCGCUAUAUUGGAUAUGAUWACCAGGGACUAAGACAAGUCAUCAUG